rnacentral:rRNA from 1 species
AAUGAACGCUGGCGGCAGGCCUAACACAUGCAAGUCGAACGAAGCCUUCGGGCUUAGUGGCGGACGGGUGAGUAACGCGUGGGAACGUGCCCCUUGGUACGGAAUAGCCCCGGGAAACUGGGAGUAAUACCGUAUGUGGUCGAGAGACGAAAGAUUUAUCGCCAAGGGAUCGGCCCGCGUUGGAUUAGGUAGUUGGUGGGGUAAUGGCCUACCAAGCCGACGAUCCAUAGCUGGUUUGAGAGGAUGAUCAGCCACACUGGGACUGAGACACGGCCCAGACUCCUACGGGAGGCAGCAGUGGGGAAUCUUAGACAAUGGGGGAAACCCUGAUCUAGCCAUGCCGCGUGAUCGAUGAAGGCCUUAGGGUUGUAAAGAUCUUUCAGAUGGGAAGAUAAUGACGGUACCAUCAGAAGAAGCCCCGGCUAACUCCGUGCCAGCAGCCGCAGUAA